rnacentral:rRNA from 1 species
UAAAAGUCGUAACAAGGUUUCCGUAGGUGAACCUGCGGAAGGAUCAUUACCGUUUGCUUUAAAUAGUAAAACCCACUGCGAACUUAUACAGCUGAUCGUGUGAGGUAACUUGCGUACUUCGGUAUGCAGGCUUUAAAUGGUGACAGCCUCACAUGAGAUGCGAAAAACGUUGUACUCAACACACUUUAUAAUACCAUAAGUUUACGUGUUUACAUGUAAAUUAAAAUAAAAACUUGACAACUUCUAACGGUGGAUCUCUUGGCUCGUGCAUCGAUGAAGAACGUAGCCAGUUGCGAUAAGUAGUGUGAAUUGCAGAAUUCAGUGAAUCAUCGAAUCUUUGAACGCAAAUUGCGCUCUCUGGAUAUCCAGGGAGCAUGCCUGUCUGAGUGUCGUGUUACAAUCAACACACUUCGGUGUGGUUAGAGGGCUCACUGAAUGUUUUCAACAAGCAGUGUCUCUUCAUGUGACUGAACCUGUAUAGUGCUUGUCCUUGACUAGUGCUGUUGGGAAGACUCAACUUGCUUCUGUCCUUUCCUUCAGUUACUGUCAAACUCGCAUGGGUUCUUCGUUUGUUCCUUCGGGUUCGAACAACUACCAACUUUGACCUCAGAUCAGACAAGACUACCCGCUGAAUUUAAGCAUAUUAAUAAGCGGAGGAAAAGAAACCAACCGUCAUAGCUGUUUCCUG